rnacentral:rRNA from 1 species
UCUACGGCCAUACCACCCUAAACGCGCCCGAUCUCGUCUGAUCUCGGAAGCUAAGCAGGGUCGGGCCUGGUUAGUACUUGGAUGGGAAAAGGGGGAUCUAGGUGCCAGCAGCA